rnacentral:lncRNA from 1 species
AGUCCAGGAGUCAAUAUUUUUUGUGGCUAGUUUUACGUGUGUUAAUUUCAUUAUUUAAUGCUAUGGGAGUCUGUUUUCUUUAAAUAUCUUGAAAAUGAUUGGAUUUAGGAGGAAAAUUGUAGAGGACAAAGUGAAAGAGAAUUAAAUUUUAAACAAAAAAUUAUUUUAGUAUUUUUUUUGUAAAUUGCCUUCCUGGUUAGUUACACUGCUAUAAAAGUUUACUCAUGAGUUGUAUUGGAAUAUACCGUCAAAGGCUUUGCAGAAAUCCAAAUAUCUUGAAAACCCCUGCAAGGAUUUUAUUGAUUUUGGUCUUAUAUGAAAGCCAAUUAAUUUCUUUACAAAAAAGGUCUUUACAAGUUUCCUUGUAAAUGCAACCGUUUCGUAGUUAUUGAAUAGUAUUUCAAUGGAUUAAAAAAAAUGUGGAUAUAGUCAAAGGCUUUACAAAAAUCCAAAUAUCUUGAAAACCCCUGUAACGAUUUUAUUGAUUUUAGUUUCAUAUAAAAGCCAAUGAGUUUCUUUAUGAAAAACCCCCUUACAAGUUUCCUUGUAAAUGCAACCGUUCCGGAGUUAUUGAGUAGUCUUUCAAUGGAUCAAAAAAAAUGUGGAUAUAGUCAAAGGCUUUACAAAAAUCCAAAUAUCUUGAAAACCCCUGCAACGGUUUUAUUGAUUUUGGUUUCAUCUGAAAGCCAAUGAGUUUCUUAAGCAAAAAGAGCCUUACAGGUUUUCUUGUAAAUGCAACCGUUUCGGAGUUAUUGAGUAGUUUUUCAAUGGAUUAAAAAAAUGUGGAUAUAGUCAAAGGCUUUAUAAAAAUCCAAAUAUCUUGAAAACCCCUGCAAGGAUUUUAUUGAUUUUGGUUUCAUAUGAAAGCCGAUGAGUUUCUUUAUCAAAAAGAUCCUUACAAGUUUGCUUGUAAAUGCAACCGUUUCGGAGUUAUUGAGUAGUUUUUCAAUGGAUCAAAAAAAAUGUGGAUAUAGUCAAAGGCUUUACAAAAAUCCAAAUAUCUUGAAAACUUCUGAAACGAUUUUAUUGAUUUUGGUUUUAUAUGAAAGCCAAUGAGUUUCUUUACUAAAAAGACCAUUACAAGUUUCCUUGUAAAUGCAACCGUUUCGGAGUUAUUGAGUAGUAUUUCAAUGGAUCAAAAAAAAUGUGGUUAUAGUCAAAGGCUUUACAAAUAUCCAAAUAUCUUGAAAACCCCUGCAAGGAUUUUAUUGAUUUUGGUUUCAUAUGAAAGCCAAUAAGUUUCUUUACCAAAAAGACCAUUACAAGUUUCCUUGUAAAUGCAACCGUUUCGGAGUUAUUGAGUAGUUUUUCAAUGGAUCAAAAAAAAUGUGGAUAUAGUCAAAGGCUUUACAAAAAUCCAAAUAUCUUGAAAACCCCUGCAAGGAUUUUAUUGAUUUUGGUUUUAUAUGAAAGCCAAUGAGUUUCUUUACCAAAAAGAUCAUUACAAGUUUCCUUGUAAAUGCAACCGUUUCGGAGUUAUUGAGUAGUCUUUCAAUGGAUCAAAAAAAAUGUGCAUAUAGUCAAAGGCUUUACAAAAAUCCAAAUAUCUUGAAAACCCCUGCAAGGAUUUUAUUCAUUUUAGUUUCAUAUGAAAGCCAAUGAGUUUCUUUACCAAAAAGAUCCUUACAAGUUUCCUUGUAAAUGCAACCGUUUCGGAGUUAUUGAGUAGUUUUUCAAUGGAUCAAAAAAAAUGUGGAUAUAGUCAAAGGCUUUACAAAAAUCCAAAUAUCUUGAAAACUCUUGGAACGAUUUUAUUGAUUUUGGUUUUAUAUGAAAGCCAAUGAGUUUCUUUAUCAAAAAGAUCCUUACAAGUUUCCUUGUAAAUGCAACCGUUUCGGAGUUAUUGAGUAGUUUUUCAAUGGAUCAAAAAAAAUGUGGAUAUAGUCAAAGGCUUUACAAAAAUCCAAAUAUCUUGAAGACUUCUAAAACGAUUUUAUUGAUUUUGGUUUUAUAUGAAAGCCAAUGAGUUUCUUUACCAAAAAGAUCCUUACAAGUUUCCUUGUAAAUGCAACCGUUUCGGAGUUAUUGAGUAGUUUUUCAAUGUAUCAAAAAAAAUUUAGAUAUAGUCAAAGGCUUCACAAAAAUCCAAAUAUCUUGAAAACCCCCGCAACGAUUUUAUUGAUUUUGGUUUCAUAUGAAAGCCAAUGAGUUUCUUUAUUAAAAAGACCAUUACAAGUUUCCUUGUAAAUGCAACCGUUUCGGAGUUAUUGAGUAGUUUUUCAAUGGAUUAAAAAAAAUUUGCAUAUAGUCAAAGGCUUUACAAAAAUCCAAAUAUCUUGAAAACCCCUGCAACGAUUUUAUUGAUUUUGGUUUCAUAUGAAAGCCAAUGAGUUUCUUUACCAAAAAGACCAUUACAAGUUUCCUUGUAAAUGCAACCGUUUCGGAGUUAUUGAGUAGUAUUUCAAUGGAUCAAAAAAAAUGUGGUUAUAGUCAAAGCCUUUACAAAUAUCCAAAUAUCUUGAAAACCCCUGCAAGGAUUUUAUUGAUUUUGGUUUCAUAUGAAAGCCAAUGAGUUUCUUUACCAAAAAGACCAUUACAAGUUUCCUUGUAAAUGCAACGGUUUUGAAGUUAUUGAGUAGUUUUUCCAAUAAUUGGAGGUUACUCCCUUGUAAAGAUUCACUCCUGAGUUUUCCUUGAAUAUCUCAAAAACGAUCAUAUUUAGGAGCGAAACUGUAAAGACUAAAAUGAAAGAGAAUUAAAUUUUGAACAAAAUAAUAUUUUAGUCUUUUUUUUGUACAUUGACUCCCUGACUAGUUACACCCCUGUAAAGGUUCACUCAUGAGUUUUCCUUGAAUAUCUCAAAAACGAUCCUAUUUAGGAGAAAAACUGUAAAGACUAAAUUGAAAGAGAAUUAAAUUUUGAAUAAAAAAAUAUUUUAGUCUUUUUUUGUACAUUGACUCCCUGACUAGUUACACCCCUGUAAAGGUUUACUCAUGAGUUUUCCUUGAAUAUCUCAAAAACGAUCCUAUUUAGGAGCGAAACUGUAAAGACUAAAAUGAAAGAGAAUUAAAUUUUAAACAAAAUAUUAUUUUAGUCUUUUUUUUGUAAAAUGACUCCUUGACUGGUUACACCCCUGUAAAGAUUCCCUUAUUAGUUUUUCUUAAAUAUCUCAAAAAAGGUCACAUUUACAAGAAAAACGACCCCUGGACUAUUGCGAAUGAACAUUUACAUUCCUGGACUGGGUCAAUGUAUAAUAAUAAUAAUUAUUUAUCAAUUACCACACACACAUCCAUUAAAAUCCAAUGAAUCACCUAUAAUAAGGCAAUUUCAAUAUAAUUUACUCCCCGUUUACCGUCGUUAAUGGACAAUCAAUAAAACCAAACGUUAUUAAUAUUUUAACGACAAAAUAUAUUAAAACAAAAAAAUUCCACUUUGAAUUGAAAAUCGACAUUUUGUAAGCCAUUCUCUCAUCCGCUAAAAAAAGCCCUAAAAUAAACUACCUACAAAAAUAUGUACAAUAAUUUAAUGUUAAUCCACCAGUGUGAACAAAAAUGUACAAAUAAACGCGUUACAGAGGCACUGGCAUAUUAUUUAUUUAUUUUU